rnacentral:lncRNA from 1 species
CAGUACUCCGGGAAAUAAACCAGGGCAACAAAAGUGGAGCAUACGACGAUGCCGCCCGUUUUCAUUUCGUGGAAGUCCCCGGCAGAGGAAAGGGCUGUAGGUGAUGGCGCGUUCUGCUUCUUAUGACGAGAGGGGCGUCGAAAUCCUUUCUAUUGGUUCUUGCGUGGCAGCUGGUAUAGAUGAUGAAAGGCGGGCCGCUUUUUCGGGACCUAUUCUCUUAAUAGGCGGCAAAGCGAAAUAGGAAAGGGGCCGAGCUGACUGAUGAGUGCCUUUUUAGCCUUUAUUUAAAAGGCUCUCAUGUGGAGCUAACAUGGCUGGCUACAUACAAGUAUAGCCAAAUCAAGAUGAGAUGGGACGGCCGUUCAGA